CCACCACCACAGGGAACAGAGGGCACACAGGUGCAGGGCAUCAACAUGAGGGGAUGAAAGGCUGGGCUAAAGAGCAAGAAGGGUAGAUGCUUGAAGCCUUCUGAAGAGGAGCCAAAACAUGGUUCUAAGGGCAUGACUCUGGAGCUAUCAGCUUUCUAAGGAGGAAAUGUACUGAGUGACAGAGCCAUCUGAAGUGUUCAGGCUAUUUACAAUAUGGAUGCUGGAGAAUAAGCAAAAUCACCCAUGAAAGGAGCCAUGAAGUUUGUGGUGAAAGCCAUAAUUAGAGCCAAUCCCAGAGAUGAGCAAUAUUCCCACCUUGGUUCACAGCUCUCGUGCUGCAAGCAUGGUCUACAAAAGCAAAGGGGCUCAUGAUGACCACAGGGAUCACCUCUGAGGGAGCCAAUCCUUUCAGCUUUCAUAUGAUG